rnacentral:rRNA from 1 species
UACGUAGGGGGCAAGCGUUGUCCGGAUUUAUUGGGCGUAAAAGGCUUGUAGGUGGCCACGCCAAGUCGGAUGUGAAAUCUCCCGGCUCAACUGGGAGGGGUCAUUCGAUACUGGCGGGCUCGAGGCCGGUAGGGGGAAGCGGAAUUCCCGGUGUAGUGGUGGAAUGCGUAGAUAUCGGGAGGAACACCAGUGGCGAAGGCGGCUUCCUGGACCGGUUCUGACACUGAGGAGCGAAAGCGUGGGGAGCGAUCCGG